UCCCAAUUCAUUCAAGCACUAAAUCAAGCACUUCUUAAACUUUAGAACAUGCCAUUAUCAAGCUCCAACAUGUGGUAUCAGAGCAAGGAUUUGCAUGGUGAAGAAGAAGAAGUCAAUCCACCUUCAAGGUAAUUUCUCAAUCAGCUUUGUGGGUUGUUGUGAUUGUGGUAGGCGCCAACCAUGAGCAAUAACAUUAAAGUAGAUUUUGAGAAGUUUAAUAGGAAGGAUGGUUUCUCAAUGUGGAAGGUUAGGGUGGAGGAUCUCUUAGUACAAAAUGAAUUGGAUUUGGCCUUGGAGGAUAGGCCGGAGGAUAUAAUGGAUAGGGCAUAGAAGAGACAUUGGAGAUGAGGGCUCAUUCGACCAUUAGGGGUUGUUUGGCUGAUUCGGCCUCAUAUAGUGUGUUAGAGGAGAGGACAUCCAAGAGUUUGUGGUCUCAGUUGCACGCCAAGUAUAUGAAAAAAAAAUAUGCAACAAGCUGAUGCUGAAAAAAAGAUUGUAUAGCUUGCGAAUGAGUGAGGGAGGUGACAUUAUGUGCAUAUUCAGAGGUUUGAUCAAGUUAGCACUGAUUUGUAGAACCUUAGGGUGAAGAUGGAUAAGGAGGAUAAGUCUUUACUCUUGCUAUGCUCGCUUCCAUUUUCAUAUGACCCGUUGGUGACAACCUUGCUUUAUGAAAAUGAGACAGUGUACUAUGAGAAAGUAGUUUCGGUGCUUCGGUCUAAUGAACAAAGAAAAAAUUGAUCAAGGAAGAAGGUCCUCAAGAGGGCUUAGCCAUAGGGGAGAGGCCUGGAAGAGGGAAGGAAAGGAGCAAGCAAAGGGGGCAGUCCAAGUUCCGAAAAGGUAAGGAGGCGAGGUGUUUCAAAUGCAAUGAAGCAGGACAUUUCAAGCAGGAUUGUCUGCUUUGGAAGAAGAACAAGGGAGAGCAGAAGGCCAUGGGUUCAGCAAGUGCCGUGGCUGAUCUUGAGAUGGAGGAUGACCUCUUGAUGGUUUCGGAUGGACACAAGAACAACAUGAACACAUGGACAUUGGAUUUGGCCUGCUCUCAUCACUAUACACCAAACCGGCCUUGGUUUGCUAUCUACAUCAAAAUCGAGGAGGGGAGUAUGACAUUAGGGGAUGAUCAUCCUUACAAGAUGUCCGAAAUAGGGACCAUCAAGGUGAGGAUGUUUGAUGAGAUGAUGCGUACUCUUACCAAUGUGAAGCAUGUCUUAGAGUUGAAGAAGAAUAUAGUGUCACUCAGCUAUUUGGAGAGGAAUAGUUACAACUUUAGCAGCCAUUCCGGGAGUGGUAUUCUGAACAUAACCAAGAGAGCUAUGGUUGUGAUGAGGGGGAGGAGGUUGGAGAACAACUUAUAUAGAAUGGAGGGAUCCAUGGUGAGUGAAGAAUCUGAAACAGCUGCAGCAGUACAAGAGCAACAGGAUGCAUACCGUUUGUGGCAUUUUUGCCUUGAUCACAUGGACAACCAUGAUAUGAAGGUCCUGAGCAAGAAUGGAGUUAUUCUGGAUGGAAGUGUUUCAAAGGUGUAUGAGCCAUGCCAAAUGGAUAAAAAACACUAGAUGAAGUUUGCCAUCAGUGCUAUAUGCAGUGAAGGUCCCCUGAAGCUUGUGCACACUGAUGUGUGGGGCCAGCCUCGGUCAGGAAUGGGGCAAGGUAUUUUCUAAUCCUUAUUGAUGACUUUUCUAGGAGAGUUUGGGUGUUUUUCUUGAGGAAGAAGACUGAGGUUUUUUCUAGAUUUAAAGCUUAGAAGGCAAAAAUAAAAAAGGAGAAGGGUUAUAGUAUGAAGUGUCUAUGUUCUGAUAAUGAUGGUAAGUUCACAAUUAGAGAGUUUCUGUGAUUUUAUGAAAAAUAUGAAAUAAAGAAGUAUUUUUCAGUUAGAAAAACUUUCCAAUAGAAUGAGGUGGCUGAGAGGAUGAAUGGGACUCUCAUGGAGACGGCAAGGUGUAUACGGUUGCAAGCAAGGCUUCCCAAGGUAUUUUGGGUGGAUGCGGUAGAUGCAGCUUGCUAUUUAGUGAACCAGUCCUCUCAUACCAAGCUAGAUGGGAGGAUUCCAGAGGAGCUAUAGUCUGAAAAGAAGGUAGAGUUAGGCCAUCUCAGGAUCUUUGGUUGCACGGCUUAUGUGCACAUUGAUGCUAGUGAGCGGAGCAAGUUGGAUGCCAAGUCGAGGAAGAUAGUAUUCAUUGGAUAUCCGCAUGGAGUCAAGAGCUACAGAUUGUGGAAUCUCCUGGAGAACAAGGCCACCAUCAGUAGGGAUGUGGUCUUUGAUGAAAAUUCAAUCCUAAAGAUGCAAGGGAUCGUAGAGGAGAAAUAGAAGGUCUAAUCGGUCAAGGUUGGACAGCUAACCUCUUAUACUAUUUUGUCUUUUGUAAGUACAUCAGGAGGAUGUGGAAUUCAGGUGGAGCACCAUUCUGAGGUGCCUCCAUAUAUGGAGGGAGGAAAGACACAAAGUCGAGGCCAAGAGGUGCAAAGGGAGGAGCCAAAUCCCAGCACAAAUAUUGGUGUUGCACUACACAAGCCUAAGCGGAAUGUGAGGCAACCAUAGAGGUAUGGCUUUGGUGAGAUCGUGUCUUAUGCAUUAGAGGCAGCAAAUAGAGACCCUCAGACCUAUGAGGAGGCCGUGGCAAGCCAAGAAAGAGAUAGGUGGGUUUAAGCCAUGACAGAAGAGAUGCAGUCCCUCCAGAAGAACCAAACAUGACGGUUGGUACAGCUACCGAAUGGAAAGAAGCCCAUAAGAUGCAAAUGGAUAUUCCAAUGCAAAAGACCUGCAGAACGAGGGGUCAGAUUCAAGAUCAGGUUAAUCACCAAGGGGUACUCCCAAAAAAAGGACAUUGACUACAAUGAAGCAUUCUCCCCGGUUGUCCGUCAUACAUCAAUUCGAGUGCUGUUGAGCAUAGUUGCAAUCUAGAACAUAGAAUUGGAGCAGAUGAACGUCAAAAUGACCUUCCUUCAUGAAAAUUUAGAGAUCUAUAUGGAGCAGCCCAAGGAUUUCAAAAUCGGUAUUGAGCCCAUACCGAUUCUGAUGCGGUACAGUACUGCAUAUUGUACCGUGUCGGUAUGCGGUAGCGUACCGGUUCGGUACCAGUAUGCCAUUAUUUUUUUUGAUUUUUUUAGUUGAAUUUGAUUUCAAAUUUUUAUUUUACUUUUUAAAUUACUUUAUAUCCAAAUUAAUGUUUAUUUAUGCCAUAUAAUAAUUGUACCAUCCAAAAAAAAAAUCUAAAAGACUAAAACAAUGCAUUUAAUAUAUCUAAAGUGCAAAUUAUAAAGAAUAAUAUGCUAACCUUAGGAUCACUACUGAUCUAAUAUCUCGUCAAGUGUCUGUAUCGCUCGUAGAUAUCCGGAUCAUCCACAUACUUCGGAAGAACAUUUGUCCAUCCCUCUAAUCAAGUAGCACUGUAAUCCUGAAUAUUCAUCGCAUAAGGUAUCCUCUCUGAAUUGUAAGACAUAUCAGAUCUCUCGCUCAAAUUCUAACUCUGAGAGGUAUCCUCGGGAUAAUGGUAUGACUGUAGAGAGACCCAUCCAAAUAUGUCAGUAGCAAAAUUCGAUCCAUAAGAUGCUCCGAGCUGCAUAAGAUAGUAGCCACUGGAAGCCAAUGUCUCGGAUACACCAUAUCCAUAUGGAUCAUAAGCUGCCUGCGGGUGAUAGAGUCCACAAUAUGAGGAUGAUCUAGAUACAUUCAUAUAUCCUACUCCACAUGCAAGAUCAUCUGCAGCUGUAUCAUGCACUGGACAAUCUCUGGGAGGCCAUCGCCUAUAUGAGAUAUCUCCUCAUGGAGUUUAUCAGGUCGUCCACCGUGGUCUCUAUCUUGUAUGACAUGUGUAAAUUGAGACUCAUCGAUGAAUCGAAUAUCAUCUUGCGAUUGUGUCUUGUGAAUAGUAAUCUCGUAUCCUCCAGUUUCUUUCUGAUCACCAGAUCCAUGACUGCUACCAUCACUCUCACUGCCGUUGGUCUCUGAAUCUGAAUCAACUGACUCCUACACUCUCGAGGGUGCUGCAACUGACGUUUCUUUUUCUUUGCCUUUUUAAGCUCCCUCAGUGCCCCACUAUGACCAACCUCAUCCCAGUAUUUCUCACUCAAACAUCUAGUCGGAUGACUCGAAUAUGGAGACACGUGAUGAAUGACUCCUCUGUGAUCCCUCAGGCUGUGGCAGAUCAGUUGGAACUCUACGUGGAAUAUUUUUUUCUGUCCACUAUCCUGAAUCCAUGCUAAUCUCUCUAGCUACCACACUGACUGAUCGUGGAGGAGAUCCUGACUCAUCAAGUUUCGGCUCCUACUGCUGGCCUACAAGCCAUUUAAUCAUCGGAUCCUCAUCAUUAAUGGCAUAAUCAUCUAUUGUCAGAUCCGUAUACUUCAAUUGUACUUCAUCUUAGACACAUUUUAGCCUCAAUCUCAAAUUAUAAUGCACAUAAACAAGAUUGUUGAAGCACUUUUAUUUCAGACGAUUUUUCUGUUUGCUGUGGAUAAGGGUAAAAAUCGACCAAUUGCACUCACACCAUUAGAGAAGACCGUCUGAAAAAGAAUACAGAUGACCACACUUUUUAAAUUUGGUGUGGAUUGUCCAAAAUAGAUCCACCAUUCAACUAUCACAAAAUUAGACAAUUAUAUAUUAAAUUUUAUGAUAUAGUAAUAUAAUUUCAAUAAAGUCCUCACUGUUGAUAUGUAAUUUACUUGGAUUCAUCUUCUUUUUGCUUACGACAGCUAAUGAGACUCCAAAGCUGUCUGUCCUCUCUGUAAACUAUUUUGUCUGUGAAAAAUAUAUUCAUUUUAGUAACAAAUAUAUUAUUAAAUUAAAUAAUCGCAUCUUAAUUGAUCUAAUGUACCUCUUGCAGACACAUAGAUGCGAUUUCGGAAUGGAACACCAUCUUACAUAUAAUAUUAUGAAGAGCAGUGAGGAGCUCAUUAUCCAUAUUUAUCUCGGAUAUGCUGUGCUGAAAUCUCGGAUUCAAAUAAUAAGCUGAAAAUAAAUUUCACAAAUGAUUAAGUAAACUUAUACUAGUACAAGAAAAAAAAAUUUCAAAUGAUUCUUGAAUUCAUGCUUACCAGCUAGAUGUAAAUGCCUACUCAUCUGAUAAUCCUAGCGAUGCUCAAUGAUGUUGAUGUAUUCUUGGACAUGAUUGGGAUCUAUCUCAUUGAUCUGUUGCUUUACCCUCUCCAUCAUGUGAUAUAGGAAGCCCAUCUGGAGGUAUCUCUCGCUAUCCAUGAUACGAAGCAUUUCAUAUAAUGGCUUGAUAACCUUUACUAUUUUAUCAGUCCGUUGCCAGAAUGACUAACUGAUCACUAAGUUCUCCACAUGACUUCUCUCAGUGCCGGCCCUCGCAUAUCUGUUCUUCUGCUGCUCAACAUGACAAACAUCUGACGCAAGGAUGCUUUCUUCUGCAAAAGGCUAUCAAGUGUAUGUAGUUUGUAGCAAACCGUAUGACAUCCGAUCUCAAGAUCUCCCCUCCAGUAUAUUUUCGCAUCAAUGAUAGCACCCAUGUAUGAUUGUAGAUAAGUUUAGUAAUAGACUGGACUGUAUCUACUGCCUGCUGCACUCUACGAAGCUUCUCAAUAUCCAUCAACAUGAGGUUAAUACAAUAUACAGCACAUGAUGUCCAGUAAAUAUGCAAUCAUUGCUCCAUCAGCAACUCACCAGCAACCUUAUAUUGCGGUCCAUUAUGUAUGACGACCUGCACGACAUUCUGCUCUUUAACUGAAUCAAUCAUCUCCUCUAUUAGUCCAAAGAUGUAUGCGGCAUCGUGCGCCCUAUCUGAAGCAUCAAUUGAUUUGUGAAAAAAUAUUUUUCCAUCACAAUAUGUUAAAAAAUUUAUGAUACUCCGUCUAGUAGGAUCGAUCCAACCACCACACAUCACCGUCAAUCCGUAUAUGGGCCAUUUACUCUUGUAAGAAGAGAUUCAUCUCUCUAGCUCUUCUUUAUUACUGUCAAGAAGCUGACCAUGGAUAUCCCUGGAUGCUGGGGGAUCUACACUGGGGUCGGCAGCCUGUAUUGUUGAAAUGACAGACUGAUAGUAAGUAUUGUCCGCUGCAUUUGCUAGAAUGUGGCUAAAAUGAAAUCAUGAUCCAAUAGCUCGUCACAUAUCCUUCUUCAGCAUAGUAUCAAGCCUUUGCUGUUUUGAAUUUCUGCUAGAAAAAGCAUGUGGAUCCACAUCAUAAAUGGUGACCCCAAUUGAAAUAUCUAUGUCAGAUCUCCUUCUACUGUCAAAAGCCCCUAGCAUCGAUAAAAUAUCCCUCUUCCCUUUACUGAUUGGCUCCUUGACAGAGAUGGUCCUCCUGAACUCAAACUCUCCUCUAGCGGUCGUAGAUCCAGACCACAUUCAUAAAAUGACAGUCCAAAUCACUCUCUAUAUCUAACCAUCUCCUCCAGCCUGUAUGAUCAUCCAGACUUACCUGAAUGGCAGUCUUAAUCUCUGUCUCCUUAUCCUAUGGAGUAGAGGCCUCCUUUGACUCUCUAGAAUGAUAAGCUAGCUUUCCAGCUCGACGGUCCACCUCUACCCUCUUCUCUUUUGUCUUCUCUUUCUGAUCAGCGAAGUGCUUUUUCAUAAAUUGUCAGAUCUCUUGUGAGCAUUUCCAACACAUGGCCACAUCCUGAUAACCACCAACUUUAUGCUGCUUUAACCUAGUCAUCCCUUCUCUCUUAAACUCUGUCGCACCAUUUAUAUCUCCAAUGGUGCCGAACUGAGAGCAUCUCACCAUACUCCUAGUAAUGGCACGCUCUAGAUCCUUUUUCUUACUCAUUUUUGCAAGUUUAAAAAAAUACGAUAGUUUAAUAAUUUUUUAAUUUUUUAAUUUAAUUUUUUUAAUAAUUUUUUAAUAUAUAUAUUUAAAAAAAUUAAUAAAAAUUAAUUAUUUUAGUGUCAUCAUGUAGAUCGUCCAAUGAUCUACAACAAAUCAUGAAAUCAUACCAAAAUCAUAAAUUUUGACAUGAUUUUUUUUAUUUUUCUACUUUUUAGCGGUUAUUGACCAAAAAAGAUGAAAAAACAAAAUAUUUAGAGAUAGAAGGAUUACCUUACUUCUGAUCAAAAUUUGUCGCCCCAUCGAAGGAGUUGUGGAAUUUUUUCUGAAUUUUUCCUCAUUUUUUUUUGGGAGGCCGUCGCACCUAUCGUCGAAUUUGAGAAUCUGAAAGUUUGCUCUCGGGUUUCUCAGGAUCUCAAGCUAAAGGGAGACAAAGCCACCCCCUAAGCCCCCACAUGGUGUUGUCAGUAUGGCUCGAUUCCAAGCCGUUCCGACCCGAAGCAAACCACACCGAACUAGCUCGGUUCAGUGCGGUUUGGUUCAUUUAUCGAAAAUAAGGGCUGAACCGCACCAGUUCCCCCCAGUUCGGUUUGAUACACCCUGUAUUGACCUUAAUCGAGCCAUACCGACCUGAAACAAACCACACCGAACCAGCUCAACUCGGGAUGAUGUGGUUCAUUUACCGAAAAUGGAGGGGGACCGGCGAUUUGGUUCACUUACCGAAAAUGGGGGGUGAACCGCACCGGUUCCCCCCCAGUUUGGUUCGAUAUGCCCUGUACCAGCCGGUUUGGGCCUGUACGGAAAACUCUAGAGCAGCCCAAGGGGUUCGAUGAGCCAAAAUCAGAAGGGAAGAUUUGUUUACGGCCGGUUUGGGCUUGUACGGGAAACCCUAGAGCAGUCCAAGGGGUUCGAUGAGCCAAAAUCAUAAGGGAAGAUUUGUUUGCUACAAAGAUCUCUCUACAGGUUGAAGCAGUUAUCAAAAUAAUGGCACAAGCAUUUUGACACGUAUGUGAAGAGCAUCGGCCUGACUAGAUGUGAGUAUGACCCUUGUAUUUAUAUUAAAUUACUUGAGGAUGGGUCUAGCUUAUAUUUACUCUUGUAUGUGGAUGCUAUGUUGAUUGCUUGCAAGAGUAUGGGUGUUGUGGAUAACUUGAAGGUUGCCUUGUCUCGUGAGUUUGAGAUGAAGAAUUUAGAUCCAGCUACUAAGAUCCUAAGCAUAGAUAUCCUUGGGACAGAACUAAGAGGGUAUUGCAUUUAUCUCAAAGGUGUUACAUCAGAAAAAUUUUAGAGAGAUUUGGCAUGGAAGGUUCAAAAAUGGCAGCACUACCUUUAGCCGGUCAUGUGAGUCUUUCUAAGGGUAUGUCACCCCAAACUGAGGUGGAGGCUAAGAAAAUGGAGAGAGUACCGUAUGCUUCAGGCAUUGGGAGUCUAAUGUAUGCGAUGGUAUAUUAUAAACCUGAUCUUGCCUAUAUAUUGUGAGCCACAUCAGCAAGUUUAUGGCUCACCCAGGCAAAGGGCGUUGGAAGGCACUCAAGGGUGUUUUCAGGUACUUGGUUGGUACAGUUGGAGUCGGUAUUUGCUAUCGGCAGUAAGAUAGCAACAAGGGAAGUUCCAACAUGUCCAAGGAUGCUCACGGCCGAAUGGUUGGGCUUGUGAUGGUGGAGACAUGGACACUAAGCAUUCAACCACAGGUUAUAUGUUUUGCUUGAAUAGGGGUCCGAUUUCAUGAAGAUCAAGCUUGCAGCCAAUCACGGCUUUGUCUCCAACUGAAGCUGAAUAUAUUGGCAUCUUAGAGACUACCAAAGAAGCUCUAUGGCUGAAGGGUUUAACAUUGGAGAUGGAGCUUGCACAAGGGGCUGUCCGGAUGCAUUGUGAUAGCCAAAGUGCACUGUUUUUGGUCCAAAAUUCGGUCUAUCAUGCAAGAAUCAAGCAUAGGUACCAUAGGAUUAGAGAGUUAGUGGAAGGAGAGAUGGAGCUAGUCAAAGUUCACACAAAAGAGAACCAGGCUGAUGCACUAACCAAAGCUCUUCCAAGAGAUAGCUUCCUCAAAUGCAUCAAGUUGAUGGGUUUGAUGGAUCGGGCUGAGUUUGCAAAGACUUUGAGGCACCAAGAUGGAGAUUGUAAACUCAAGUGUGAUGCUUCCAAGCCUUGGAAGUCCAAGGGAGGAGCCAAGGCCGUGGCUGCAUGAAGCAAGAACGCUACAGAGGCUGCAAGGCUUUGGUUGGAUAGCCCUACGCCAGGGGCUGCCCAUUGGAGUUGCUAGGACCGGGCUUGGCCCUGGGAUGGAGGCAUCUGGCCUUCACACAUCCCCGAGGCUCAAGAGAAAGGCUCUUGAGGGGCAGAGCUAUAUUUUGGACUGGGUUUAGGUCCAAAGGAUUGAGAGUGCGCAAGGCAUGGAUGUAUAUGGGCUUGGGUGAGUGCUUUCACAAUGUGGGCUUGGCAUUGGGAGUUUUUUGGGGCUUGGACUUAGGUUCAAAAUUUGGAACCACAUUUGUAUAUAAGUACAUAUAGUGUAAUCAGAUUGAAAGAGAAGAAAGAAGUGAAUUUUCUUCCAAAACAUCUCUCACAUUUCCAUAUGCAUAGAAAACCCUAGAUCACCAUUUUUGUGCACAAACUCUCACCAAUUCAGUUCCAAUCUGUCCCAAUUCAUUCAAGCACUAAAUCAAACACUUCUUAAACUUCAGAACACGCCAUUAUCACGCUCCAACAACCUCAAGAGACCACCCUUUUCCCCUCUAUGAGAAAGAGGAGAGGCAAGAGCUCUUAUGGGAGUCUGAUGACCGUUGGACCAGGCCCAUUGCUCGCGAGGCUGCCUCGACCAGUCCCUGGACUUGUUGGCUCAGAUGGAGGCUUCCGGGAUGCACCCCAAUGCUAUAUCCUAUGCCCGUCUUGUCCGCACACUCAGGAGCAUCGGCCAGACUCUGGAGGCCGAUGCGGUCUUCCGGGAGAUGAAGUGGGCGGGUAUCCGGCUGGGCCUCAGUGACUACAACGCCCUACUGCGAGCAUUCUUGAGGAAGGGGUAGCUAUGGCUC
rnacentral:lncRNA from 1 species